rnacentral:rRNA from 1 species
GAGACAUAUUACGGGGGGUCUACCAUGCAGUCGAGCGGUAAGGCCCUUCGGGGUACACGAGCGGCGAACGGGUGAGUAACACGUGAGCAACCUGCCCCUGACUCCGGGAUAAGCGGUGGAAACGCCGUCUAAUACCGGAUACGACCCGCCACCUCAUGGUGGAGGGUGGAAAGUUUUUCGGUCAGGGAUGGGCUCGCGGCCUAUCAGCUUGUUGGUGGGGUAACGGCCUACCAAGGCGAUUACGGGUAGCCGGCCUGAGAGGGCGACCGGCCACACUGGGACUGAGACACGGCCCAGACUCCUGCGGGAGGCAGCAGUGGGGAAUAUUGCGCAAUGGGCGAAAGCCUGACGCAGCGACGCCGCGUGGGGGGAUGACGGCCUUCGGGUUGUAAACCUCUUUUACCACCAACGCAGGCCCGGAGUUUUCUUUCGGGUUGACGGUAGGUGGGGGAAUAAGGACCGGGCUAACUACGUGCCAGCAGCCGCGGUAAUACGUAGGGUCCGAGCGUUGUCCGGGAAUUAUUGGGCGUAAAGAGCUCGUAGGCCGGCGUGUCGCGUCUGCUGUGAAAGACCGGGGCUUAACUCCGGUUCUGCAGUGGAUACGGGCAUGCUAGAGGUAGGUAGGGGAGACUGGAAUUCCUGGUGUAGCGGUGAAAUGCGCAGAUAUCAGGAGGAACACCGGUGGCGAAGGCGGGUCUCUGGGCCUUACCUGACGCUGAGGAGCGAAAGCAUGGGGAGCGAACAGGAUUAGAUACCCUGGUAGUCCAUGCCGUAAACGUUGGGCGCUAGGUGUGGGGACUUUCCACGGUUUCCGCGCCGUAGCUAACGCAUUAAGCGCCCCGCCUGGGGAGUACGGCCGCAAGGCUAAAACUCAAAGGAAUUGACGGGGGCCCGCACAAGCGGCGGAGCAUGUUGCUUAAUUCGACGCAACGCGAAGAACCUUACCAAGGUUUGACAUCACCCGUGGACUCGCAGAGAUGUGAGGUCAUUUAGUUGGCGGGUGACAGGUGGUGCAUGGCUGUCGUCAGCUCGUGUCGUGAGAUGUUGGGUUAAGUCCCGCAACGAGCGCAACCCUUGUUCCAUGUUGCCAGCACGUAAUGGUGGGGACUCAUGGGAGACUGCCGGGGUCAACUCGGAGGAAGGUGGGGAUGACGUCAAGUCAUCAUGCCCCUUAUGUCUUGGGCUGCAAACAUGCUACAAUGGCCGGUACAAUGGGCGUGCGAUACCGUAAGGUGGAGCGAAUCCCUAAAAGCCGGUCUCAGUUCGGAUUGGGGUCUGCAACUCGACCCCAUGAAGGUGGAGUCGCUAGUAAUCGCGGAUCAGCAACGCCGCGGUGAAUACGUUCCCGGGCCUUGUACACACCGCCCGUCACGUCAUGAAAGUCGGCAACACCCGAAACUUGCGGCCUAACCCCUUGUGGGAGGGAGUGAGUGAAGGUGGGGCUGGCGAUUGGGACGAAGUCGUAACAAGAGCACCCC